rnacentral:rRNA from 1 species
GUGGGGAAUCUUCCGCAAUGGACGAAAGUCUGACGGAGCAACGCCGCGUGAGUGAAGAAGGUUUUCGGAUCGUAAAGCUCUUUCGUUAGGGACGAACGUGCUCUUUGUGAAUAAUGAGGAGUAAUGACGGUACCUAAAUAAGAAGCCACGGUUAACUACGUGCCAGCAGCCGCGGUAAUACGUAGGUGGCAAGCGUUGUCCGGAAUUAUUGGGCGUAAAGCGCGCGCAGGCGGGAUAUCAAGUCUGUCUUAAAAGUGCGAGGCUCAACCUCGUGAGGGGACAGAAACUGGUAUUCUUGAGUGUCGGAGAGGAAAGUGGAAUUCCAAGUGUAGCGGUGAAAUGCGUAGAGAUUUGGAAGAACACCAGUGGCGAAGGCGACUUUCUGGACGAUGUCUGACGCUGAGGCGCGAAAGCUAGGGGAGCGAACGGGAUUAGAUACCCUGGUAGUCC